GACGAACCGUGCGAACGUUAUUCGGAAUCACUGGGCUUAAAGCGCGUGUAGGCGGGCCGCCGCGUCGGCUGCUGAAAUCCCCCGGCUCAACCGGGGAACGGGCACCGAUACGGGCGGCCUCGAGGGGGGUAGGGGGGGUCUGGAACUUCCGGUGGAGCGGUGAAAUGCGUUGAGAUCGGAAGGAACGCCCGUGGCGAAAGCGAGGCCCUGGACCCUUUCUGACGCUGAGACGCGAAAGCCAGGGGAGCGAACGGG
rnacentral:rRNA from 1 species